CAGAAUAGGGUAUUUUCUUUAUUAAUUAAAGACCCAGGGCUCAGCUAGUGACUCGUCUUUCCCUUUCCCCACACAGACACUUUCCUACGCCUCUCUCCUCCUCCCCUUGUCAGAGAGUCUGCCUCCUGCAUCACAGUGGUUUCCUAGGAAACGGGCUCACCACCAGGAGCCCCAAACCGCACAUUUCCAGUAAGUGUUAGCUAAUGAAACACGGUGAAAAUACAUCAGCACUUUUAGAAAUUACUCCACUACGGCAGGUUACCUCUCUCACACUCAUUCAUGGAAAGACCCAGAGGUCUGCAGAUGUGGGCUUCUCCUGGCAGAUCUCAGUUUGGAAUCUCAUUUACCAUCCUAAGGACUGGAUUUCUCGCGCGCUGAGGAACUGUGGCGAUUCCCACCUAGCGGCACCUUCUGAGCCCAGAGCUCGCCAGCCAGCCUGUCUGCGGCAGAGAGUGGAAGGCUGGGUGGGCAGAGCAAAGCCCGGGCGAGGAGAGCAGCCGUUCUGCCCCCUCCCUCCCAUCUCCAGGGUCCAGUUCUCGGAAAUGUUAACACAAUAACACAAGUGCAAUAAAUGUGCUGUGUGCAGACAGAGAUAUUUACACCCUUCUGUUUGACAUCAUCUUUCACUGAUGAAAAGCAUACUACGCACGCUCAGAACCUAGCGAAACAGAAGUGGACUCUGGGGAAAUGCAGCAUGAGUUAGCGGUCGCCGUCUUUGGAAAGCAACUUGCUAAGGGUCCGGAUGCUCAGACAGCGCAGCCCAGCGGUUCCCGGCCCCAGGUGCAGGCGCUGGAGAUGUCUGUCCCCGAGCUCCCUCAGCAUUGUUUGUAACGCCUUUGUGAAGUACAAAUGUCCCCGCAAGAGAACGGGCACGUGAUCUGUGGUACAGUCAACCAACGCCAUCCUCAGGAGUCAUGUUCAGCAGGGAAAUGAGUGAAACACAACUCUGCGUUACGCAUCCGUGUUGAUGACUCAUACAGAAACCACCAGGUGAGAUGAACAAGUUGCAGAAGAGGCAUACAAUUGAAUACCAUUCUUAAAUGCACUAAAAAUGCAUAUAUGUAUUUGUAAUAUUGUUUAUUUUCAUUAUAACCACUGGUAAUAAAAAAUAAGUAAAGGUAAGAGACGAUAACUACCUGAUUCAGGAUAGUGUCACCUCCGGAGGCGACAGGAAGUGUAGUGGAGAGGCCCUACGGCCUCCUGCUCCCUCAGCCAUGUCUUAUUUACGCUGAGGGACGCCUAUGCGGUCUAUAUGCUUUCAUGUACCUGAAGUAAGUCACGUGAAGCAUUUUAGCAAAUCGGUAACUUUACACACAACUCCGCUUGGAAAACACUUUGGGGACUGCGAUGCUCCCUGGACUCCGGGAGUUCCUAGAGCACAGCCUGCAGCCUGCCCACCUCCCCGGCUGCUCCACGGAGAGGGAGAGGCAGCUUCCUCCUCUUUACCCGGCCAGACUCCGUCAGGAACUCCGGCCAGUGAGGCGGAGCAGAGGAGUAGGCCUUCCGCUGGCGCCUCCCUACCUGCAGAGCCUGGGGUCAGGU
rnacentral:lncRNA from 1 species